rnacentral:rRNA from 1 species
GAUAAGUUAGAGGUGAAAUCCCGGGGCUUAACUCCGAAAUUGCCUCUAAUACUGUUUGACUAGAGAGUAGUUGCGGUAGGCGGAAUGUAUGGUGUAGCGGUGAAAUGCUUAGAGAUCAUACAGAACACCGAUUGCGAAGGCAGCUUACCAAACUAUAUCUGACGUUGAGGCACGAAAGCGUGGGGAGCAAACAGGAUUAGAUACCCUGGUAGUCCACGCAGUAAACGAUGAUAACUCGCUGUCGGCGAUACACAGUCGGUGGCUAAGCGAAAGCGAUAAGUUAUCCACCUGGGGAGUACGUUCGCAAGAAUGAAACUCAAAGGAAUUGACGGGGGCCCGCACAAGCGGAGGAACAUGUGGUUUAAUUCGAUGAUACGCGAGGAACCUUACCCGGGCUUGAAAGUUAGCGACGGAUCUGGAAACAGGUCUUCCCUUCGGGGCGCGAAACUAGGUGCUGCAUGGUUGUCGUCAGCUCGUGCCGUGAGGUGUCGGGUUAAGUCCCAUAACGAGCGCAACCCCUACCGUUAGUUGCCAUCAGGUCAAGCUGGGCACUCUGGCGGGACUGCCGGUGUAAGCCGAGAGGAAGGUGGGGAUGACGUCAAAUCAGCACGGCCCUUACGUCCGGGGCUACACACGUGUUACAAUGGUAGGUACAGAGGGUCGCUACCCCGUGAGGGGAUGCCAAUCUCGAAAGCCUAUCUCAGUUCGGAUUGGAGGCUGAAACCCGCCUCCAUGAAGUUGGAUUCGCUAGUAAUCGCGCA